GAAGAACAAAAUUUGGUUUUACUGAUCGUUUCUGCAGUAAAAUUUUACUGUAGCAAACUUUCACAAAGGCUAAAAUACAUAUUCCAAGUAAAACAGCGGAAAGUGAUGUAAUUAGAGGAAAACUCGGUAACCGUCUGUUUAAACUCUGUAAAGCUGUCGUCUCUGUGCUAAUUGAUGCAAAUUUUCUACCAGAUCGUCCACUCCUCAGGAAGUCUUUGAUCGGUUUCCACAAACGUGCAACACCUCCCCUUUCACCGCCAGAUGAGACUGAAUGAUGUUUGGAUGUUGCUCUAAGUGAAGCCAACUUCUCAACUAAGGUGCGCUCUGUAUCACUGAGAUUCUUCGGGAUCUGAACAGUUAUCAGGAAAACAUGAUCUCCUCUCACUGAAGAUCUAUUCAUGUCUGGCACUCCCAUUUUUGACAUUUUAAUCUUCUCUCCAGGUUGAGAUCCAGGAGGAAUCUGAAGAUUUUUUGUACCAUCUACAGUUGUCACCUUCUUAACUGUCCCCAGAAUG
rnacentral:misc_RNA from 1 species